CAGUAGCGCCACAUAGGAAUCUUCGAAAUUCAAUUCACCCUCCGGCGGACAAAGGAUUUUUGAACAUUUUUUUAGGUCUCAGGUUUGCCCGUAAUCAUCCAAGGUCAUAAACAAAUUAUACCAAAAACGAACAACCGCGAGAUUAAGAACGUCGAUCAAUUCCCGCAAAGUGGUGCAGAAUCGGGAUAACCAUUACCUUGCAUUUUUCGCCACGUAGAAGUAUCUGAUAAAUCGAACAGCUUAAAGCGUUGAUUUAAAAUAUUGAAACCCGAGAUAGAUGGUCUCGAAUUUCAAACGUCCUCGCCACCACUACCACCACAACCACCGCCGUCGUCGUGGUCGUCAUCAGGAUAACUACGCAUGGCUUGAAAAGACCUCCCUGUUAUCCGACUGUUGCGAGUUAUACAACGCAGGAGGGUGUAAGUGUCUAAUAAAAACCUAGACAACGUACGGAGCGGAAUGACAAAGAUUAGAGAGAGAGAGAGCCGGAGAGGGAGAGGGAGGGAGGGAGGAGAGAGAGAGAGAAGAGCGAGCGAGAGAGAGUACACCCGACGUUUAAACGGUUGUUCAAUAAAAUAUCGAAAAUGCCAGGGUUACAAACGAUAUAAAUCCUUGUCACGUGAUCGGCAUGCAUACUUGAUUACAUACCUACAUUACGAAAGAAUCGUCAAGGUAUCAGGGAAUUGAUAAAAACAGGUGAGGGCGAAAU
rnacentral:lncRNA from 1 species